rnacentral:tRNA from 1 species
AAAGGUAAAGCUAACAGGUCAAGCUACAGAUGGUAAUAUCUGUGAAGUACAGGUUCGAGUCCUGUUUAAGUCUAGGUAGUACAUGGCGGGUUCGAAUCCCGCUACCUUUC